rnacentral:rRNA from 1 species
AACCUCCACAAUGCACGAAAGUGUGAUGGGGGAAUCCUCCGUGCCCAUGUUAUGCAUGGGCUUUUGCCAAGAGUAGACAUCUUGGCGAAUAAGGGGUGGGCAAGACCGGUGCCAGCCGCCGCGGUAACACCGGCGCCCCGAGUGGCAAUCGCGAUUAUUGGGCCUAAAGCGUCCGUAGCCGGACAGGUAAAUCCGCUGUGAAAUCGUUGUGCUCAACAUAACGGCAUGCAACGGACACUGCCUGUCUCGAGACCGGGAGGAGUCAGAGGUAUGCCGUGGGGACUGGUAAAAUGGGAUAAUCCACGGUAGACCACCAAUGGCGAAGGCAUCUGACCAGAACGGAUCUGACGGUGAGGGACGAAAGCCAGGGGAGCGAACCGG